rnacentral:rRNA from 1 species
AACGAGCGCUGGCGGCAGGCCUAACACAUGCAAGUCGAGCGGACCCUUCGGGGUUAGCGGCGGACGGGUGAGUAACGCGUGGGAAUAUGCCCUUCUCUACGGAAUAGUCCUGGGAAACUGGGGGUAAUACCGUAUACGCCCUUUGGGGGAAAGAUUUAUCGGGGAAGGAUUAGCCCGCGUUGGAUUAGGUAGUUGGUGGGGUAAUGGCCUACCAAGCCGACGAUCCAUAGCUGGUUUGAGAGGAUGAUCAGCCACACUGGGACUGAGACACGGCCCAGACUCCUACGGGAGGCAGCAGUGGGGAAUCUUAGACAAUGGGGGCAACCCUGAUCUAGCCAUGCCGCGUGAGUGAUGAAGGCCUUAGGGUUGUAAAGCUCUUUCAGCUGGGAAGAUAAUGACGGUACCAGCAGAAGAAGCCCCGGCUAACUCCGUG